rnacentral:tRNA from 1 species
GCCCUUGUAGUAUAGACUAAUAUACCGGUCUUGUAAACCGGAGACGGAUACCUUUCCCCAGGGCA